AUGCGACCUCGAUCCGGCGCUGCGGGACUUGGCGCAGCAAGUGCACACCGCCUCCCGUUUCUUCUUCGACACCGGAUGGCGGAGGCCAGAGCCGCCGGCCUCGUCGUUGUUUCGGCGCUUGCGGGCGAAGAAGCCGCCGCGCGGGCCACCUCCACCGCGGCACCCGAAGCCACCGCGGUCGCCGAACCCCCUUCCGCCACCACGCCCCGCACCGGCGGACGCCAUGGUAGCUUCGAUCCGGCGGAAAACAGGCCGCAAAAGGCUGCCGGAGCGCGCUCGAUUUCUCGCCGGAGUACACGAAAUGCGGCGGAGAGGGCUAGAGGAAAUGGAGGGCGGAUACCCUAA
rnacentral:rRNA from 1 species